UACGUAGGGGGCAAGCGUUGUCCGGAUUUAUUGGGCGUAAAGAGCGUGUAGGCGGCUAGAUAGGUCCGUUGUGAAAACUCGAGGCUCAACCUCGAGAUGUCGGCGGAAACCGUCUGGCUAGAGUCCGGAAGAGGAGAGUGGAAUUCCUGGUGUAGCGGUGAAAUGCGCAGAUAUCAGGAAGAACACCUAUGGCGAAGGCAGCUCUCUGGGACGGUACUGACGCUGAGACGCGAAAGCGUGGGGAGCGAACAGG
rnacentral:rRNA from 1 species